AUUGAACGCUGGCGGAAUGCUUUACACAUGCAAGUCGAACGGCAGCACGGGGCAACCUGGUGGCGAGUGGCGAACGGGUGAGUAAUACAUCGGAACGUGCCCAAUCGUGGGGGAUAACGUAGCGAAAGUUACGCUAAUACCGCAUACGAUCUACGGAUGAAAGCGGGGGAUCGCAAGACCUCGCGCGAAUGGAGCGGCCGACGUCAGAUUAGGGAGUUGGUGGGGUAAAGGCUCACCAAGCCAACGAUCUGUAGCUGGUCUGAGAGGACGACCAGCCACACUGGGACUGAGACACGGCCCAGACUCCUACGGGAGGCAGCAGUGGGGAAUUUUGGACAAUGGGCGCAAGCCUGAUCCAGCCAUUCCGCGUGCAGGAUGAAGGCCUUCGGGUUGUAAACUGCUUUUGUACGGAACGAAACGGCUCUCUCUAAUACAGGGGGCUAAUGACGGUACCGUAGGAAUAAGCACCGGCUAACUACGUGCCAGCAGCCGCCGCCGUAA
rnacentral:rRNA from 1 species